UACGAAGGGGGCUAGCGUUGCUCGGAAUCACUGGGCGUAAAGGGUGCGUAGGCGGGUCUUUAAGUCAGGGGUGAAAUCCUGGAGCUCAACUCUAGAACUGCCUUUGAUACUGAGGAUCUUGAGUUCGGGAGAGGUGAGUGGAACUGCGAGUGUAGAGGUGAAAUUCGUAGAUAUUCGCAAGAACACCAGUGGCGAAGGCGGCUCACUGGCCCGAUACUGACGCUUAGGCACGAAAGCGUGGGGAGCAAACAGG
rnacentral:rRNA from 1 species